UUUCCUUCUCCCACUGCUGCUGAGAUGGCAGAAAUUGGUCCAAUUCAGUAUGAAAUGAAAUACACCAAAGGUAUUAGCAAAUGAGGGUAAAUUAAAAGUCGCACCACCAAAUGCUACCCUGGAACAAGGAUUCCAAGAAGGAGUUCCAAAUGCUAGUGUGAUCAUGCAAGUUCCAGAGAGGAUUGUUGUAGCAGAAAAUAAUGAAGACUUUUCGUUUUUAAGACCAGCAGAUCUUGACCUUAUUCAGUCGACUCCUUUAAAACCUCUGGCAAUAAAAACACCACGUCGUGUACUUACACUAAGUGAGAGACAGCUAGAUUUUCUGGACUUAAGAAAAACCUUCUCCAACCCCUCAAAGUGAUGAAAUCUGUGCAGUUGGCAGGCUAAAAAGAGAGCACUCUAUGAAUGAAAAUGUUGUUCGCCAAAGUGGACAGCUGGUCAGAAACAAUGCUAUACUUGUGUAUGGCAUUUCAAAUGUAGAUGCAACAAUUGAAGGAACAGCGGAUGACAUGACUGUUGUAGAUGCAGCUUCAUUAAGACGACAGAUAAUCAAACUAAACAGAUGCUUACAACUUCUAGAAGAGGAAAACAAAGAACGUGCUAAAAGAGAAAUGGUCAUGUAUUCAAUUACUGUUCCUUUCUGGCUGCUUAAUAGCUGGCUCUGGUUUCACCACUAG